GACGAGGACCUGGCGGCCGCCCGCGCCGCCAGCAUCAUCGCCAUCAGGCUCUUCCGCACCUCGGACUACGACUCCAACUUCAUCCAGGAUGUCACGCCGUUCUAUAAGUACAGGAGGCCGAUGUUCGUCACGAGUUUCGAGCCGUUCGGAGGAAUCUUGGGCUUGGAAAGCUUCUGAAGUCGGCGGAUACAAGAGUGCACCGCUGGCGGCAGUGUGACGGGAGACCAUCAUGGACACUGUCCAGGGCAGGGCAGCGGCGACCGAUCGUAGAGCUUCUAAACUCUGACGCCAGUGACCAACCACGCGCCUGCUGAACUCUGACGUCAGCAACCCAAUGUGCACCUUCUAAACUCUGACGUCAGCAACUAACCGCGCACCUGCUGAACUCUGACGUCCGUGACCAGCCGCGCGUCUUCUAAACUCUGCGACCAGAGACCAACUGCACACCUUUUAUUUAAUAUUACAUAUACGAAACGACCUGCAUUCAGCACAGCGCCUGUACAUGCGCCGUUUGCACGAGAUGCCCAGCAUUUGGCCGAACUCUGACAUCAGUGGCGAGCGCCAUGUCCCAGCUUCCGAGCUCUGACGUCAAUGGCCAUUGGCCAGGCCUCUGAGCUCUGCCCUAGUGCCGUCACAUAUGUGACGAUUGCUGGGACGGGCAGAGAUGCUGCAUGCCUGACGGAUAUGUAGGCCAAACAUCGCGCGGCACACAAAGCAAAGACAAAACCAAAAAUGGAGCAAUGAAUCUGGCUGCAUUUGCGAGCUUUUAUGCAAAACCUGUACCUGUUCACUACUAACAUUGACGUUUGAGAAUGACGUUUUUGAUUAAUGCCAAAGUGAGACGCAAAGCACGCGUGCCCCCAUUGUCUGGAAUUGCCGAUGUCAGAGCUAGGCAUGACAGGUUAGGCAAGUGGAGCACGUGACAGUGAGGCUCGGAUCAGCACGCGAAACGAUGACCAGUCGCUUUCAAUCGACCAAAGGCUGCAGAUUCAGGUUCUCCUUUCAAAUACCACAUUCCAUGUAGAGGGUCUCAACUGUGAUUAUUUUUCAUUCAUUAUUGUAUAUUUAUUUUCAGUUAAGGACGCAUUUUCAUCGAAAUGCGUUUGGCAAACAUCGGUGCAGUUUUGCCGAAGUGGACACUGGAGCAUAAGACGGCGAUCGUCCUUACGUAUUUCCACUUAGUGUUGCAUGUAAUCUAGCCGAUAUGAACGUGCGCGAAAGCGUUUUGCUGUGUCGCUACCGUGUCAAAUCACGUAUCCGGUGCGAUGGCCGUGUUGAAAGCUGCUUUUGUUGGGGGUCAUGCGUGUUGGAUAGGUGAGUGUGAUGUUGUAGCACUAGAAUAGUUUGUCAUCUAUUGAGAAUAUCGCUUGAGAAUAAACGUUUAUUU